rnacentral:rRNA from 1 species
AAUAUUGGACAAUGGUGGCAACCCUGAUCCAGCCAUGCCGCGUGUGUGAAGAAGGNCUNNGGAUUNUNAAGACCUUUAAUUGGNNNNNAAGGGUUUUAGGUCAAUACCGUGAAAUCAUGAUGUUACCAACAGAAUAAGCACCUGCUACCCAGGUAGCAGCAGCCGCGGUAAGACGGAGGGUGCAAGCGUUCAUCGGGAUUACUGGUCGUAAAGCGCGCGUAGGUUGUUCAGUAAGAUGGGUGUAAUAUCCCCGGGCUUGACCUGGGAACUGCUUUCAUUACUGCUGUGCUAGAGUACGGUAGAGGGUAGUGGAAUUACCUGUGUAGCGGUGAAAUGAGUAGAUAUAGGAAGGAACACCAGUGGCGAAGGCGACUGCCUGGACUGAUACUGACACUGAGGUACGAAAGCGUGGGGAGCAAAC